rnacentral:lncRNA from 11 species
CCACAUUACACAUCCAGACAGAGACAAAGGAGUUCUUCUAAAAAGUCUAAUGACAGCUACAAAGAGAUUUUGGAAGGGAUUCAAGAACUUGGUGGUGCUUGAGUAAUAAAAUAUCACAAUGCAGCAAAGUCAUAAUGAAAUAACUAACAUUUAAAGCACCGGAAAUCAGCAUGAACCAACAUGGAACAGCAGAAG